CAGCAGCCACGGGAAUACGUAGGUGGCAAGCGUUGUCCGGAAUUAUUGGGCGUAAAGCGCGCGCAGGUGGUUUAAUAAGUCUGAUGUGAAAGCCCACGGCUCAACCGUGGAGGGUCAUUGGAAACUGUUAAACUUGAGUGCAGGAGAGAAAAGUGGAAUUCCUAGUGUAGCGGUGAAAUGCGUAGAGAUUAGGAGGAACACCAGUGGCGAAGGCGGCUUUUUGGCCUGUAACUGACACUGAGGCGCGAAAGCGUGGGGAGCAAACAGGAUUAGAUACCCGAGUAGUCCCUGUCUCUUAUAC
rnacentral:rRNA from 1 species